AGUAGGUGGGGUAACGGCUCACCUAGGCGACGAUCCCUAGCUGGUCUGAGAGGAUGACCAGCCACACUGGAACUGAGACACGGUCCAGACUCCUACGGGAGGCAGCAGUGGGGAAUAUUGCACAAUGGGCGCAAGCCUGAUGCAGCCAUGCCGCGUGUAUGAAGAAGGCCUUCGGGUUGUAAAGUACUUUCAGCGGGGAGGAAGGGAGUAAAGUUAAUACCUUUGCUCAUUGACGUUACCCGCAGAAGAAGCACCGGCUAACUCCGUGCCAGCAGCCGCGGUAAUACGGAGGGUGCAAGCGUUAAUCGGAAUUACUGGGCGUAAAGCGCACGCAGGCGGUUUGUUAAGUCAGAUGUGAAAUCCCCGGGCUCAACCUGGGAACUGCAUCUGAUACUGGCAAGCUUGAGUCUCGUAGAGGGGGGUAGAAUUCCAGGUGUAGCGGUGAAAUGCGUAGAGAUCUGGAGGAAUACCGGUGGCGAAGGCGGCCCCCUGGACGAAGACUGACGCUCAGGUGCGAAAGCGUGGGGAGCACACAGGAUUAGAUACCCUGGUAGUCCACGCCGUAAACGAUGUCGACUUGGAGGUUGUGCCCUUGAGGCGUGGCUUCCGGAGCUAACGCGUUAAGUCAACCGCCUGGGGAGUACGGCCGCAAGGUUAAAACUCAAAUGAAUUGACGGGGGCUCGCACAAGCGGUGGAGCAUGUGGUUUAAUUCGAUGCAACGCGAAGAACCUUACCUGGUCUUGACAUCCACGGAAGUUUUCAGAGAUGAGAAUGUGCCUUCGGGAACCGUGAGACAGGUGCUGCAUGGCUGUCGUCAGCUCGUGUUGUGAAAUGUUGGGUUAAGUCCCGCAACGAGCGCAACCCUUAUCCUUUGUUGCCAGCGGUCCGGCCGGGAACUCAAGGGAGACUGCCAGUGAUAAACUGGAGGAAGGUGGGGAUGACGUCAA
rnacentral:rRNA from 1 species